rnacentral:rRNA from 1 species
CAAAGAUUUAUCGCCGAGGGAUGAGCCCGCGUAGGAUUAGGUAGUUGGUGUGGUAAAGGCGCACCAAGCCGACGAUCCUUAGCUGGUCUGAGAGGAUGAUCAGCCACAUUGGGACUGAGACACGGUCCAGACUCCUACGGGAAGCAGCAGUGGGGAAUCUUGCGCAAUGGGCGAAAGCCUGACGCAGCGACGCCGCGUGGGCGAAGAAGGCCU